GUGCUCACUCAGUCAGCACAUAUACUAAAAUUUGAACGAUACAGAGAAGAUUUGCAUGACCCCUGCACAAGAAUGACAUGCAAAUUCGUGAAGUGUUCCAUAUUAAA